UGAAAACUUACCAUCAAUAAAACACCAAAUGCUGUAAUUUCUUGUGGAAGAAUGGUGUCACAUCCCUCCAAUAGACUUCCAGACAGUUGUAGAAUGUUUGCCAAGGCUCAUUGUAAGAGCUGUAAAGAGAGAGGGACUCGGAGAGAGAACAGGUAGAACCUGAUAUGUAAAUGAGCAGAGCAAACGAAAGUAACUUUCAACGACCGAAUGAUCAUUCAGACUCUGUUUCUAUUGAGAGAUAAAAGACUUCAGGACAAAUAGUUGGAAGGACCCCCGUGGAGAAGCCAGUACCAAGUUCUUCUGACCACCCCCACUUUGGUAAAGGUUGCUGAGAGAGAAUCCUGGACACACCUGUCACACUGCAGACGAGUUCCUGAUCCAGAAGAAGAUGGGGCCUCACCAGUUCCUGAUCCAGAAGAAGAUGGGGCUUAACCAGUUCCGGUGGUGCAGUGUGGCCCUCAUCUGCGUUAGCACAGGAAUGCUAAUAAGAACAGUAGGUUGUCCUCUUGUGGGAAAACUGACAGAUGGUGAGAUAAGCCCCGAGCCAAAGGGGCCAAUGCAGGCCCAGAGUAGUGGCCCAGAAGUAAAUGGUAAUGACAGAAUGAGUCCUGAGUCAAAGGGGCUAUCACUGGCCCAAAGUAGUGGCCCAGAAGUAGAUGGUAAUGACAGAAGGAGUCCUGAGCCAAAGGAACCAACGCAGGCCUGUAGUAGUGGCCCAGAAGUAGAUGGUAAUGACAGAAGGAGUCCUGAGCCAAAGGAACCAACGCAGGCCUGUAGUAGUGGCCCAGAAGUAGAUGGUAAUGACAGAAGGAGUCCUGAGCCAAAGGAACCAAUGCAGACCUGUAGUAGUGGCCCAGAAGUAGAUGGUAAUGACAGAAGGAGUCCUGAGCCAAAGGAACCAAUGCAGACCUGUAGUAAUGGACUAGAAGUAGAUGGUCAUCGUAGAAGGACAGCCCUGCUGGGACCUCACCAACAUGAGGACAAUUUGUUCUUAUCUAGAGCAGAAAUGGUUGCCAACAAGACAUCCAAAGAAAAUGACUGUUGGGUGUGUGGGAUGGGUCCGGUUAAGAUCACUCUCCUAAUGUGACUGAUCUCGCCAGUGCUGCUAAGACAAAUUCCCCAAAGCCAGAGUGGAUGCUUGCAACUUGGUUGGAAUCCCUGUUUGGAAGUUGGGGUUGCAGCGGUGGCUGGGCAGCAGCGUGCAUUUUUUGCUUAGUUUGCCUGAUUAUUAUUAACUAUAUAUUAUUGUUAUUAUUAUAAGGCUAUGUGUGCCUCCUAAUAGUAAAGGCUAAUAAGAUCUCAGCAGCUGUCAUGUUUAAUGCUCCUUUCAGAGGACGAUUGGACUGAUGAGCUGCAGACUCUGGAUGAGCUUCCAUUUCCCCCUGUAGAGAAGGAUGAUGAGUAAUGAUUGAAGCUUGUUUUCGUUUAACAAGGUUAGAAGGUAAAUUCAUUGAAAAGACAGCACCAAUUUUAUGAAGGGGUGUCCACCUUGUAGUGUACCGUGGUUCGUCCUUUAAAAGACAGCUUGUAUGGUGCCGCAGAAUUCUAUGGCACGUUAUUUAAGUGUCAGCCACUUUUACCAUUAACCUGUUGUGGACAGACGUUCCGCCAGGGGAACCCCGUUCCGCCAGGGGAACCCCUAGCCAACAGCCAAUGGAACAGCAGGGCGUGAUAUUCAAAACAUAAAAAAAUCUAAUAAUAAACAUUUCUCAAACAUAAAACUAUUUUACACCAUUUGAAAGAUAAACCUCUCCUGAAUCCAACCACGUUGUCCGAUUUCAAAAAGGCUUUACAGCGAAAGCAAAACAUUAGAUUAUGUCAGGAUACCACCACAGCAAAAAAACAACAACACAGCCAUUUUCUUAGCAAGGACAGACAUUUUCAAAGCAAGGGUCGCCGUCCAAAAGCACAAAACCAGCUAAAAUGAUGCACUAACCUUUGACGAUCUUCAUCAGAUGACACUCCUAGGACAUUAUGUUAGACAAUACAUGCAAUUUUUGUUCCAUCAAGUUCAUAUUUAUAUCCAAAAAACCCAUUUUACAUUGGUGCGUGAUGUUCAGAAAAUGUAUUCACCCCAAAAUAUCCGGUGUAUGGGCACCAUAAUUUACAGAAAUACUCAUCAUAAACAUUGACAAAAUAUAUAACAAUUAAUUAAAACCUCUUACAUCUAGACGUUCCGCUAGCGGAACACCUGCUCCAAUAUCCAAUGAUAGGCGUGACAAGAAUGACAAAUUCCUCAAAAAUACAAAAACUUCAAUUUUUCAAACAUAUGACUAUUUCACAGCAUUUUAAAGACAAGACUCUCCUUUAUCUAACCACACUGUCUGAUUUCAAAAAGGCUUUACAGCGAAAGCAAAACAUUAGAUUAUGUCAGCAGAGUACCAAGCCAGAAAUAAUCAGACACCCAUUUUUCAAGCUAGCAUAUAAUGUCACAAAAACCCAGAAGACAGCUAAAUGCAGCACUAACCUUUGAUGAUCUUCAUCAGAUGACACACCUAGGACAUUAUGUUAUACAAUACAUGCAUGUUUUGUUCAAUCAAGUUCAUAUUUAUAUCAAAAAACAGCUUUUUACAUUAGCAUGUGACGUUCAGAACUAGCAUACCCCCCGCAAACUUCCGGGGAAUUUGCUAACAAUUUACUAAAUUACUCACGAUAAA
rnacentral:lncRNA from 1 species